rnacentral:rRNA from 1 species
CAGCAGCCGCGGUAAAACGGAGGGUGCAAGCGUUAUCCGGAUUUAUUGGGUUUAAAGGGUCCGUAGGCGGAUCUGUAAGUCAGUGGUGAAAUCUCACAGCUUAACUGUGAAACUGCCAUUGAUACUGCAGGUCUUGAGUAAAUUUGAAGUGGCUGGAAUAAGUAGUGUAGCGGUGAAAUGCAUAGAUAUUACUUAGAACACCAAUUGCGAAGGCAGGUCACUAAGAUUUAACUGACGCUGAUGGACGAAAGCGUGGGGAGCGAACAGGAUUAGAUACCCCUGUAGUCCCUGUCUCUUAUAC